GCUCUUUGACAGAAAAAGCACCCUGGGAGGAAAUGUGACACCUCAAAGGCCUUAUGAAGUGGUUCCAGUAGAAAUGGAAGUGACUGGUAACACUGAGCACACGCAGAAAGUCACCCAGCGUUCUUGACGUGCAGACUCGGGGCAAACUAGUGGCUGCCAUCCUUCUGAGCACCAGAGAUGUGGCCUCGUCAGGAGUGGCUGUACUGGCUUGGUACAGAGAAGCUGAAUGGCUUGAGCCAGGCAAGAAUCUGGUUCUCUGGGCCCUCUUCUAGGCACUGUUCCUCUCACCUGUGCACUCACCUUGAGACAUUUCCUACUGUGCAGAGGGCAGAGCCAGGCUCUGUGGUCCAGGAGAGACCCCAGUUUAAGAGGGGCGUCUGCCAGACAUCACAGGCUGUGGGUGGAUUUUUGCCUAGGAUGGGUGUCUCCAGCGAUUUCCGUGGCGUCUCAUACCUGGCAUCCUUCACAAUUGCGUAAAGAGAGGUAUUUAUGUGUAUUAACCUUUAUUUUCUAAACAGUGAUUACCUCUGUUUUGGUUUUGUUCCUCAUCGCUUAGCUUCUUACUUAUUCUUGACAACUUUGUUGCAAUUCAGAGAGUAUUUUUAGCAGCCACAUCGGUAGUUUUCUAUGUGGGUGGCUCAUGGAAUUAAUCUGGGUAAUAUUUGUAAAUUGCACCUCACCACCGGUGCGGCUGCUGGAGCUGAGCACAGGCAGGGACCUGCCUGCACUCUAUCCUUGUCACACGUGGGGCCGGGAAAGCCGGAAAAUCUGACCCUGUACUUGUUGUGGAUCAGAUCCCAUUUAAUGCCAGAAACAGGCCAGCCCUGCUGGGUUUCGAAUGCAUCCUUAAAUCUCACCAAAGCACACAAAACUUGCUUGCCAGGGAGGUGGCCCCAGUGAGGCGGAGUAAAGGUCUUUACCCCAAAGUUCAUGCAGGGAGAUGAUAACUCUGAGACGCUUCCUGUUUAUGAAAUAAUAACCAGAACUAAAGCUAUGUCAGUGCUGGGACUAAAAGCCUAAGUUUUUAUUUGCUCAGGAUAUGGCUAUAGCCAGGAUAACAGGAAGCCCCCUCCAGUUAAAAUUAUUGUUCUUAUCAUGCUGCUGUGUCUAGUGAUUAAACAAGUUUGCUAUGUAAUGGGUAAAAAAUGCUGUUUUAUUUUCAGAAGGGGAAAGAGCAUUGCUGAGACCAGGGGCUGGGGUGAGCAGACAGAGAGGCAAGCUCAGUUACUCACCACAGUCACCAGCCCUUGGACUCUGUGCAGUGCAUUCCUCUUCGUGGCUGUAACAGGUGGGGAGGACCCAGUUGGCUUCAGUUGGACACCUCAGCUGGCCUGGGAAGUGAAAUAAUUUUCAUUUUUCCAUCACUAGGUUUCCCCAUUUGCUCAGUGGUUGUUAUUUACUGCCCUGGUGCUGUGAGGCCACUGGAUUUGGUUCCAUCUAAAUGGGAUAAGAGCUGCCUGUGCAUGUGCCUGUGCCUGAUGUUCAGUGUAGGUUCUUCUGCUGAUGGGGAACAGCAUAGAGACCUCCUUGAUGCCUGUGGGGCUUUUGAACUUAAGCUCAGCCCUGGGAAGUUAGACUGUGUAUUUGGAGAUAGGUAAUGGACUUGGGUGGCUAAAUGAAUAAAGCCUGAUUUUGGCCACAUCACAGCAGUAGUGCAUAAAAGCAUGUGAAUAUUUGGUCAGGAGGACAGUUGGGAAGUCAAAUCAUGACAGGAUUGGUGACCUGGGCCUGGAAGUAAAUCCCUGUCCUGAUUGUGGACCUCACCAAGUGGGUCCCAGGUGGUGAUGUUAGAGCUGUCCUGCCGGAUGGUGAGGUCAAGUGCAGUCACCUUCUGCUCAGACCAGGCUAAGUCACCAGUAUGAGGCAGAAUGAGACAGCUUCUUCUAGCUGCAGGACUCAAGACAACUGUGAUAGUGCUGCCCAUGGGCAGGACCCCUGAGAAGAGUUUGCAAAGGCGUUCCGUGGUUGGCUUACAGCUGUUAUGGUGUCCCCAUCCCUGUGUCUGUAGUGAGCAGGUAGGCUAAGACUGGUUUGCUGGGUUGGCUUUUUUUAAGGUUCGACACCUUUCCUCUCUGAUCCCAAUUUAAGAAGAUAUUUUCAGGUCUGUGCCUAAAUUUAAGCUCACAGACAGUGCUUCUGACUUCAUUAGGAUUGUUUAUGUCUUUAAAGCUGGCCGCAUGCUGAAGUGCCUUUCUGACUCACGGCCUCUAUAGCUUAAUCACUCCAUUUGUAAAAUGAGGUUGUUUCCUCACCCUUACUAAGAAAUCUCUGCCCUCUGAAUGCGAAAUAUUAUUUAUAGGUCUUUCUGUUACUUUUGGAAGGAUAACUGGUUGAUAACAAGAAGUGAGAAUUAAGCAUUGUUUAGAGAAAAGGCUGUUUCUUGAGCUGUUUACAUACCCUAAUGUGGACCAACUGGAAGACUUCUCUUUUGAAACUACUUCCCCUAGCAGUACAGAAUUCACCUUUUCUUUUGAAAAUAAACACAGAUGAUAAUUUCACUCCAGACAUGGCAUUUAGCAGUUUGUUUGUCAUGCAGGAAGAGUAGAGGCAUGUUACUGCUACCCCUCAUUUAGAGCAUGGAGUGCCCCUGAUUACUGCCUCAUUUGGCCAUACCGGCAAACUGAGGUCCAUCCUCAGGAAAGCACAAGUUCCUCUAUUUUGGGAGCACUUCUGAAUUCAGGUAGCCUUCAGAAUUAGGUAGUUUUGAUAGCAAAAACCACUUCUAGUGACACUUGCCCACGCACAUGAGUGGAGGAGCAGCCUCUGCCUCCGUAGGCCAGCAAAGGCAUUUCCACAUCUCAAAAUACCUGGGAAAAUCCACAGUCAGGACUAAAUUUAAGAAGUUGUCUCUGCUAUUAGGAUUUGUUUAUUGAAUGGAAGUAACAAUAAGCUGUAAUGUGUAUUUAUGCAAUGCUGUAUACGUUCAAGGUGCUGUAUAAAGAGUGGCUGUCUGAUCAGGUCACUGACAGAAUGAUGCCAAAGAACAGACUUUUGCUUACUCACAGGACAUGUGCAGAAUGGCCAAAGGGAAGCAUCUUCAAGAAGUGAACCCCUUGAGCUGCUCCUGAGCUAGAUUCUGAUACAGAUCAGCAGCAGUGUCAGUGAAACCCAGGGAGCUACACAAGGGGAAGCAGGGUCUGCACGUGAUGAGCGUUAGCCUGUCUGUGUCGUGUUCUGGAGUGAGAGGGAGUUUUAUGCUGGGUGAAGGAUGCCAUAGUUUGCUCCCUUGGUUUUCUUCAGCAUCACUGAGUUGGACAAAUGUUUGGAGAGGCUGAAGCUCACUCUAUUUACAUGUUGUUCUCUGUCCUGCUCACCUUCCAGGGCCUGUGCUGAUGUCUGUCUCUGGAAGGACAAAAUAAGAGCAGUCCCAUACAGCUCCUUCCCUGAAAAGUGGGAAAGGUCAUCCCACAAGACGUUGGUAUUUGCCAGAGAUACUUGGGAAACCAUGAAGGGCAGCUGCCUUCUCUGUUCUUGAUUGCUUUCAAUCCAUAAAGGUUCUAGCAACACCUGGAACAAUGGUGUUACCUGACAGAACUCUGCAGGCUAACAUCUCCUUUGGUCCUGAAGGCUGACAGGUUGGGCUCUGGACUAUGCUGAAAUGCCAAAGAAACUUACCUCUCACCAAAACCAUUUAAAUCAUAGGAAAUGGGCAAAGGAGAGAUUUUUUUUUUAAGUGUUUUAAAGUAGAAUAUCAAAUGCCUGUCCAGCAUGUUCUUUAACAGGCUUGUCCAGCAUAUUCCCCAUGUGUGGACAAUCCACAGAAUGUCCAGGAUGUCAUUGUUGCCCUUUGUUUUGCCGCUUAAAAGAUUGUACCCCCUCUGUAGCUCCUCUCUGCUUUGCUUGCUCUGAUUCAUUGUCCUUUUAACUGUGGGUGUAGGAAAACUAUUCCUUUGUCUUUGUCAUGUCUCUCCUUUGUGUUCCUUAGGCUAAAUCAUAUCUUGAACACAUUCUUCAGCUCUUUCUCUUGUAUCUUUUCCCUUUCAGCUCUGACCGUUCUCCUGGUUCUCUGUGCUCCCUUCAGCUGGUCCAUCUCUCUCUUAAAUGGCACUGCCAGAGCACAGUGCUGUAUUUGGGUCCUGUGCUGGGCAAGGAGAGCAGGAGUGUUCCUUUGUGUCUGUUACAGUCAGUGCUCCUCUUUGGUUUAACUUCUGCAUCGUAACAUUGUUCAUCUCCGUGCAGCUUGUGAUGUGCUGUGAUCCUGUCCAAGGAUCACAGAUCCUGUCCAGGCUCACAGAUCCUGUCCAAGAAGUCUGAUGCCUCAUGAACCAUUUUCUAUCCUGUAUGUGUGGAGGUAGACUUUCCUACCUAAGCGUGUGAUUUUUGAUCUGUCCCAUUUGAAUGUCAUCCUGUACCCCUCAAUUUGUCGUGAUUGUUUUGAAUUAUCUAAUUCCCCCGAUUUUGCAAUCCUGCUUGAUGUCACCUGCCAAUUUAAAAAGCACAAUCUCUGUUUAUUCACCGAUGUAAGCUUUGUUGUCAAUUCUGCAGUCCAAGAUAUAAAGUACAGGAGAGAAGAAAUCGUUUCAUAUAAACCAGAAGGAGAACCUUGCCCACAAAAUAUAAAAUAAACUGGAAAACACACACAACACUUGGCAUUGUUUUCAUACCUAUUCUACUUUGGUGCUUUUAAGGUGUUCCUAAUAGCAGUUGUAUUUGCUAUGCCAAGCAAAAGCAGAACCUUACUGUACGAGGCAUGACAUUGACCUGAAGGGGUAGAUGGUUACCACCCCAAAGGAUUUGCAUUUCAUAUAGAUGCAGACACAGGAGGGUGCUUCAUACAAAUUGUCGGGGCACUUUCAGGAGAGGAAAUCAGAAUGCGUGGGCUUUCCACAACAUUUGUGACAGAGGUUGCUCUGGGAAAGGAAAGGGUGGGCUGAAGAUUGAGAAGGAGUAAGUCAGUAGGGCAGGAACAGGAGGAGAGAGACAUGUGGGGAACAAAGAUGAGGGCAAGUGACUGUAACAGAAUAGAGGGAGAUGAUUCCUGAGAUCUUGAGGGGCUGAGGAUGUCACAGCCAGGGCUGGCAGGAAUGGAAAAUUGAGUGAAAUGCUGAAGAUCCCGUCUUGGAGUGUUUCUGCAGUUGCUCUUACUGACUUCAGUCUCUCCCACUCUCUUCAGACUUCAGUCUCUCCCAGUUUUUUUCCCCUGGAGUUGUCUCUAAUAUCUUUGGAAGAGAUGGUGAGUGAGGACAGGAGACACUACCUAUAUCCUGAUGCUCACAGGCAGAACAGAGAGUCUGUCUGGGGAUUCCCCAUCUGGAGCUGAGCAGAGGCAAAACUGAUGCUGUGGCAUUCACUUAAAAUCUCUGAUCCUGCUCACCAUGCUCAGCAAACUCUGAUGGGACAGAGAUUAUCUGAAGCACCAGCACUUUUCAUUGAUCUGAGAUCCUUGUAGCUUCCUCCUUCUCUGCCAUUGCUCUUCCCGUGACAAUGGUGUCUGUGCAGGACAAAUUUAAUGUGCUGUCCUCCUUCCUCCUCCCCUUCAUGCUGAAUUUUCCCUCAGCCUGCACAUGAUGUAUUUAAGGACAUAUGUGACUGCUGUACCCUCUCUGUCAUCAUGUCUGCUGUACUCUCACCACCAGUCAGGGUGGCCAAAAAAAGUUACAAGCACGGAGACCCAGUCAUCAGCACCUGAGCUCAUGGGUGGGAACCACACCUGCAUCCUCCUGCACAUGGAUGUGCAUGGCCCAGAGGCUGGGCACAUCUCAAGCAUGUGAGGCUCAGCACACUGCUCUCUCUAGGAGCAUGCCAGGUGUGUGAGCAUCUUUGGCAUUGAGUCUGUAAGGUUAUGGUUGUUCUCUUGGGUGAAGAGAGCAAGAAGAGCUCUUUUUUUGCUUACAGUGUGGGGUCAGGUUGUUUGUUUGCUCCGGGAUGUGAUCCAGUGGAUUCAGUAUGUCUUUGCACAGGGAGGAAGCAGCAGGGAGGAAGCAGUCUAGGAGGUUCCUGGAGUGUGUGGAAGAUAACUUCCUGACACAGCUGGUGAGUGAGCAGACAAAGGAAGGCUCCCUGCUGGGCCUGUGUUAUGCCAACAGAGAAGGACUUGUGGGUGGUGUGGUGUUUGGAGGCUGCUUUGGGUACACUGGUUGGUUUUCAGUGCUCAAGAAGUGAGGAGGGGGCUCAGCAGAAGGGCUACCUUGGACUUCUGAACAGGGCAGACUCUGGCCUGUUCAGGAGAGAUUGAUAGAGUCCCUUGGGGCAGACCUGAGUGACAAAGGAGUCCGGGAAGGCUGGAUGUUCUCCAAGAAACAAAUCUUAAAGGCACAGGAGCACUGCAGGGAAGACAUUGACGUGCUGGUGCAUGUCCAGAGAAGGGCAGCAAAGUUGCUGAAGGAUCUUGUGUGCGAGAGGAGCAGCUGAGAGAGAGGGCUUUGUUUAGCAUACAGAAAAGGAAGCUCAUGGGAGACCUUAUCUUUCUCUGCCACCACCUGAAAGGAGGUUGUAAUGAGGUGGGGGGCAGCCUCUUUCCACAGGUAACAAGUGACAGGACAAGAGGGAACAGCCUCAAGUUGUACCAGGGAAAAUAUAGAUGGGAUGUUAUGAAAAAUUUCCGUAUGGAAAGAGUUUGUCAAGCACUGGAACAGGCUACCCAGGGAAGUAGUGGUAUUUAAAAAUCUCUGGAGAUAUUUAAAAGAUGUAAAGAAGUGGUUCUAGGGGACACAGUUAGUUGUGCACUUGGCAGUGUUUGGUUAACUGUUCGUCUCAUUGAUCUUAGAGGUCAUUUUCAACCUAGGGAAUUUUAUGGUUCUGUUUAUUUUUGCUUGAGGACAUGAGGGUUUUUUCUGGUUACAGGUUGUAAAGGCGUACAGAGGAUGGGGAAUAGCCAGCAAGCUCCCUGACUGAUAGCUGCACUGAUGGGCUGUUACACUUUGGGAGGGAAUGUUACAGCAGAUGAUGGAGCGGCUUGGUGGAGACUUGGACUCUAGCAGCAAUACUCAGAGAAUAUCCAGUCCCAGAAAACUUGCUGAACAUUUCAAAGAAAGUUUGUUUUUUUCAGGAAGGUCCUUCAGUUUGUCCAGAGUAUUUUUACUUCCAGGCAAAAUUUGUAAGCAUUCUUUAUUUUUAAAGUGUGAUUUAUAUUCUGCUCUUGUCUGCAACAGCUCCAACACGUCAAAGUAUUUAUCUUUUCCUUGUUAACACUUACCAUUCCUGGAACAUCUCCUGCUCAGCAGCUGUUUGUAGGUGGUUUUUUUUUCCCUCUCCCAUCAUCUUGUACCUUUCCUUCCUGUUCAAGGCAUCUAUAAACCUCUUGUAGUGACAUCAUAGCUGUUUCCAUAGCAACAGAUUAUGAUACUAGAACAGAGGAUAAUAUCAAACAGGAGGAGGAAGAGAUAAAUUAUGGUGUUUGUGUGCGUGUGUCUGAGGGCUUGAUUAUAUUCCUACAUCUCUUCCAAGGAUGUUGUCUGCCUAGCUUCUUCUCUGUUUAUCUUACAUGCCUUUUAAAGGUUAGGAAAAUGUGAAGGGAAAAAAGAUCUGGAGGUCAGAACAAUACAGACGCAUAUUUUUGAUGGUCUCUAUGUAAACCUAGUAGGCUGAGAUUUAUUUUUUUACCUCUGGUAGCUCUCCUGUGUCUCCUCAGAGUAGUCUGGAGAAAACUUAGAGGCACAACAAUCCCCUGGUAUGGCUUCACUUUUACUUUAAUUACCAAUUAUUCAUAGCCACUAGCAGCUGGGAUCUGAAGUCAAGGAUCUCUGUGCUGCAGAUUUUCCAAAAAAUGGACAACUGUGAAAUGGCAUUGCCCCAGAGAGCUCACAGCUGUAUUUGAGAAGGGAUGUGACAUGUGCUGAAAUCAGCCAGAGGUGGCACGGGGAGAAGAGGGACAAGUACCCAGAAGGAUAUUGCGGGACUGUGAUCUCUAGACUGUUUCAGCCUGCCCAGAGAGUGGUGUGAGCCUCAUCGCAGGGUUAGCUUUUCACACUGGUGGUUGUGGAAGAGCUGUGCCAGGAUGGGUUGUGGGCUGGUUUUUGACCAUCUGUGUGGUUCUUCCAUGGCUUUGGGCUAUCCCUCUGUCAGGAGCUGACAGCAGCAGGAUUGCAGAAGGGUGAGUGCCCAUAUUGCUCCAUAUGUAUAAUGGCAGGAAGGCUGUUUGCUUAAAGCAAUAGGCUGGAGGAGAAGAAUGUCCAGCUAAAAUACAUGGUGUUUUAUUUUCUCCAAGGCAGCAUUUAGUGUUGACAAAUUCCACAUAGAUUGGCAAGGAUUUUCAGCAGGUCUCUGGUUUACCUCCAAAUAGUGGUAAUUUCCAGCCAUCAUUGCUACUUUCCUAUUUAGAUGUUAGACUUCAAAAGCUGGAGGAAAAAUUCCAAGAAAACUGUCUUUGAUAUCCUCAUAGCUCUCUGUGUGUGUGCAACCUUUAAUCUUCCUCUUGUGGCAGAAUUUCUGGGGACUUAAAUAGUCAUUACUAGUCUUUAAAAUACCUGGAGUAGAGUCGUCUCUAACUCGAAAAUCUCUGGUGGCACACUUGAGCUCCUUAACAUUGACAAACAGAAUUGAUCCCACGUUGAGGCACUGUGGUGCCCCAGGGAGGAGGGAAGUGGAGGGAUCUGAGCACAGCAGUGCCAGGUGAUGUGUCAGCUUACCUUGGCAAUCCAGCUGGCAGGGGCAGUGUGCAGUGGUGUUCUCUCCAUGGUGGGAAUGAGAGCCCUGGGUCAGCAGUGAGCAGUGCUGGGAUGAGGUGAUGUCCAUCCUGCAGUUCCUGUCAGGGCACCAGGAACUUUCUGAUAGCUGGGCAGGCUGCUGGUGUGCUCGGUGGUGAUGCAGAGUGAAGUUUUUGGUUGAGCUUAGCGUUGCCAGGAUGGAGAGAAGGUGGCGGAUCACACGAAUUGCCUGAGUCACCCAAACUCUGCAAGGCCAUCAGGAGUCAGAGCUGUACAGAAGGCACGCGAGCACACAAGACCUUGGCAGGAAUUAGGAGUUAAGUCACCCUAACGGAAGCUUAUUGGGAGCCAGUAGAGACCACAGAGGACUGGUUGGGUGUGCUUCCCCUGCAAGCACCCACAUGGCACACUAGGCCCAGCUUCAGAACAGGCUGACAUUGUCCUGGGGGGAGCACCUGCCACAAUCAGGCCUCAGGGUGGUGGAGGUUAGGGAAGUGGCAACAAGGUCCUUUGAUGAGAGAUGAAAAACUUUCACCUUUUCUGUGAAACUGAAUUAAAACAAAAAUACAGCUCUUGGCUACAGCCAGUUUGUGGAUAGCAUGGAGAAACCAAAGACCUCAUAAAUCCUCCAAGUCUACAAAGAAACUGGGGAUCACAUUUUUUUCAUGACUACAAGAAAAGGAUUUCUUCAUCUCUUGUAGUACAAUCACUGGCACCACCAGAAACCUGCCUUCCCACCUAACUCCCGCUCUUCAUUCUUUCAGCAGCAGAAUAUGUGUGUAUUUACCAAGUGGAGAUAAGAAACAUGCUGCAACCCCCAUUUUAAAACAGCUGCACCACCUGAAAAGGACAUGUGAGACCCAGACACAAGCAUAUCCCAUUGAUGAUGACAGCACUUCUCUUGCAGUGCCAUUUUCCUGUGGCUUAUCUGAGGCUGUGCGGACCUGUGUAAUGAAAGUGCACCUUGCAGAAGUCUGUGCUGCCUGAAAGCACGUGCGAGUCAGAAGGGACAGCAGGUGCUGUUCCUGAGCACCGUGUGUGACAGCACAGGAAUUUUUGAAUCUCCCUGCAAAUAAUCAGGGGCAGGAUCAGUUUAUAUCAAUGUAAGAUUCACUACCUCUGAGUACUGCCCAUCUGCCUGUAUCCAGCUUAUGACCAGUGCUGCCUGCAGUGCCUGACACUUGCUUUCUCUUUCUGAGAGAACAGGAGGAAAGUUGUUUGGCCAUGCAGAAUGGGAAUCAGGAACAAUAAACAGCUGUUGCUCCUGGGAGAAGAGACAGGAAAGCGUUUGGUGCCGUUUGUCAUCAGAGAGGAAAAUUGGUGAAGCCUUCUAUCCAAACAUUCCUGUAGGAGCAAGUGUGACCCUCGAGAUAGAAGUUCAGGGUCAGAGGAAAAAUGCAAAUGAGCUGAGAUACCUUUUUCCCCUUGUGACAACGGCCUGGUUUAUGCUGUUUUUCUCUAAUAAUGCUCUAUACCAUUAAACAGCAAUGCCACAAACCAA